GUACAAAUCGGUUCUUAUUGAGUCGGGUCUAUUCGGGUCGGUUUAUUAGUUCUAAUAAAAGAUUAUAAAGUUAUAUUUUUUCUGUUUCAUUUUAGUUGUCGUUCUAGGUUUAUGCACACAAAUUAAUAAAACAUAUGAUUUUGUAUAUUUCCAAAAUAAAAAUACAAUUACCUAUACACCUAAUCAUAUUUCAACCAAUAGAAAAAUAAAGGGGAGAAUCUUAUUAAUAAAUUUUGCAUUGAAACUCUAAAACGACACUUAUAUUUUUUCUUUACAACGACAAUUAAAUCGAAACGGAGGGAGUCAUAAGUUAAGGUUUUGAUAAGGUUUAUUACUCAAAUCACAAACAUGAAGUUUAAACUAUUGUUAAACAUGUUUAAAAAUUGGUGGGUUUGGUGGCGAGUACAUUUGGUUGGGCCCUUUGAAGAUUGAAAUGUAAAUUUUGUUUAGUGUUGGGAUAUAUUUCCUAGGCCCGUUAGAUGCAGUGGGUUUUACGUUUUUAGGUGUUAUUAACUGGGCGUGUGAAUCAUGUUUGAGGUUUUUUUAUACUUUAAAAUAAGUUUGUUGGAUAUAUUUGUUUUUUUUUUCUUUUUUGUUUUGGUUCAGAUGAUAAAUUGUUUAUUUGGAGGAUGUAAUAAUCAACUCUUGCUGUUUUCUAAAUUUAUCCUUCUGGUAGUAGUACACAACUUUGUAAAUCCUGAAAUGGUCAAUCAUAAUUGUUUUAUUUUGAGGAUGCAGUAAUCAACUCUUGAUGUUUUUUUAAAAAAAUUAAUUCUUCUGAAAGUUCAAUUUUAUCUUGAUAAAAAAAGAAGAAGAAAAGGUUAACUUUGUCUCAGUUGGGCUUUAACUAACACUGCUUUAUUUCAUUUAUAUACAUAAAGAUAGAAAAGUUUUGCAUGAACGACUCAUUCUUAUUGGUUAUAAACAGAGCAAUAUGUUUAUUUAAUAUCCCCACAUUAUAUUCUUUUGUGUGACAAUGUUUUAAUUCCGAGAUAACGCCUCAACUACUUUGCUUAAUGUUAAAACCCUACUUUAAAUGUAAGUAAAACUUUAUUGUAUUUGUUGAAACAGAGAAAUAAGUACUGAUUCACUUGGGAGGAAAAUAACCU
rnacentral:lncRNA from 1 species